rfam:Rattus norvegicus chromosome 3, whole genome shotgun sequence.
GGGGAUUUAGCUCAAUGGUAGAGCACUUGCCUAGCAAGCACAAGGCCCUGGGUUCGGUCCCCAGCUCCA